GUUUACUCAUAGACGAAUAAAAUAUCAUCUUCUCGUCCGAUCACCGAAGUUAAGCUCAGUAGGGCACGGUUAGUACUUGGACGGGUGACCGCCUGAAAAUACC
rnacentral:rRNA from 1 species